GCCUUUGUGGUGAAGUGGUCAGCAGGCUUGGCUCGAAUUCGAGAGGUUCGUGGUUCGAGUCCCUGCAAGGGCA
rnacentral:tRNA from 1 species